GGGCUUACCUUUGCGCCCGCGAUCCCCUAUAUUGGCCCGGUCUUCGGACUAUGGCGAUAAACGCGCGUGUAAUAAGCGGCUCGGACCCGGGGGCGGUACCCGGCGGCUCCACCACAAGCAGACCUCUCCGAAGGUCUGUUUCUGACGGGGCCGAAAUAGUGUCGACGGACGUGUAAAGACGAGGCUUUCGCUCGCAUGAGCUGCGUUAGAAGCUCACAAGCAAAUAGUUGCAAACGACAACUUUGCUGAAGGCGAACUGAUGGCUGCGUAAGCGGCCGGAUGUUUUCCGACCUUAACUCCUAGGGUAUCAGACCCCUAGGCGGGGCCCGGAGGCGCCUGGCAACAGAAGCCUCCACC
rnacentral:tmRNA from 1 species